rnacentral:tRNA from 1 species
UAUAUCUUAGUAUAAGACGUAUAAGGGUUUUUGAUGCUCUAGGAAAUAGUUUGAUUCUAUUAGAUAUAA